AACGAACGCUGGCGGCAGGCUUAACACAUGCAAGUCGAACGCCCCGCAAGGGGAGUGGCAGACGGGUGAGUAACGCGUGGGAAUCUACCUAGUUCUACGGAACAACAGAGGGAAACUUCUGCUAAUACCGUAUACGCCCUACGGGGGAAAGAUUUAUCGGAAUUAGAUGAGCCCGCGUUGGAUUAGCUAGUUGGUGAGGUAAUGGCUCACCAAGGCGACGAUCCAUAGCUGGUCUGAGAGGAUGAUCAGCCACACUGGGACUGAGACACGGCCCAGACUCCUACGGGAGGCAGCAGUGGGGAAUAUUGGACAAUGGGCGAAAGCCUGAUCCAGCCAUGCCGCGUGAGUGAUGAAGGCCUUAGGGUUGUAAAGCUCUUUCAGUAGGGAAGAUAAUGACGGUACCUACAGAAGAAGCCCCGGCUAACUUCGUGCCAGCCGCCGCCGUAACAC
rnacentral:rRNA from 1 species